UACGUAGGGUCCGAGCGUUGUCCGGAAUUAUUGGGCGGAAAGGGCUCGUAGGCGGUUCGUCACGUCGGGAGUGAAAACUCGGAGCUUAACUCCGAGCCUGCUUCCGAUACGGGCAGACUAGAGGUAGGCAGGGGAGAGCGGAACUCCUGGUGUAGCGGUGGAAUGCGCAGAUAUCAGGAAGAACACCGGUGGCGAAGGCGGCUCUCUGGGCCUUACCUGACGCUGAGGAGCGAAAGCGUGGGGAGCGAACAGG
rnacentral:rRNA from 1 species